UUGAAGGAUACAGGAGAGAGCAUAAUAUUAUGCCACCGAAGGAGUAAAAUUUUUAUUUGCUCAAAAUAGAAAUUGAAACUCUCAGGUAAAAGGACCGUAUCUGGACA
rfam:Halanaerobium saccharolyticum subsp. saccharolyticum DSM 6643, type strain:DSM 6643, WGS project CATI01000000 data, contig: c3